ncrna:unclassified sequences Glutamine-II riboswitch (downstream peptide RNA)
GUCCGUUCAUCCUUAAUUGGACGCAUGUCAGCUAGCCAUGGAACGGGGGCUAGGU